CCUACGGGAGGCAGCAGUGAGGAAUAUUGGUCAAUGGACGAGAGUCUGAACCAGCCAAGUAGCGUGAAGGAUGACUGCCCUAUGGGUUGUAAACUUCUUUUAUAUGGGAAUAAAAUGAUCCACGUGUGGGAUUUUGUAUGUACCAUAUGAAUAAGGAUCGGCUAACUCCGUGCCAGCAGCCGCGGUAAUACGGAGGAUCCGAGCGUUAUCCGGAUUUAUUGGGUUGAAAGGGAGCGUAGGUGGAUUGUUAAGUCAGUUGUGAAAGUUUGCGGCUCAACCGUAAAAUUGCAGUUGAUACUGGCAGUCUUGAGUACAGUAGAGGUGGGCGGAAUUCGUGGUGUAGCGGUGAAAUGCUUAGAUAUCACGAAGAACUCCGAUUGCGAAGGCAGUUCACUGGACUGCAACUGACACUGAGGCUCGAAAGUGUGGGUAUCAAACAGGAUUAGAUACCCCUGUAGUC
rnacentral:rRNA from 1 species